UGGCGGCGUGCCUAUCAUGCAAGUAGAGCGGACUCUUUCGGGGGUCAGCGGCGGACGGGUGAGUACACGUGGGUAACCUGCCGGACAGACGGGGAUAACGCCUGGAAACGGGUGCUAAUCCCGGGUAGAUUCUCUCUUCGCAUGGAGGGGGAAGGGAAGGUGGCGCAAGUCACCGCUGUUCGAGGGGCCCGCGGCGCAUUAGCUCGUUGGCGGGGUAAGGGCCCACCAAGGCGACAAUGCGUAGCCGACCUGAGAGGGUGAGCGGCCACACUGGGACUGAGACACGGCCCAUACUCCUACGGGAGGCAGCAGUAGGGAAUCUUCGGCAAUGGGCGACAGCCUGACCGAGCAACGCCGCGUGAGUGAAGACGGUCUUCGGAUUGUAAAGCUCUGUCAUGCGGGACGAGCGACAAGGAGAGGGCAUGCUCCUUGAGAGACGGUACCGCAAGAGGAAGCCCCGGCUAACUACGUGCCAGCAGCCGCGGUAAU
rnacentral:rRNA from 1 species